AAGUAGCCUCUCGCCUGCCCACCUGUGCGCCCGGGGCCCUCCACCUUCGCCGUGGCCGCGUCUGGGGCUGGCGAACCGGUCCCGCGGCGGGCCCGCCGUUCCUUCACGCUCUCGGUCGCGCUCGCCCCUGUACCGGUGUUUUGAAUCCGAGUCCCCUGCGCGUAUCUGGCUCCCACGCCUGCGCGGUGCGGGGACCCCGAGCUGGGCGCUCCCAGUUGGCUGCAGGCAGGUUGGCAAAGAGUGGACCCUGCCAGGCGGGUGUAGACGCUGGGUUCCCCGGGAAGGGGGUGAGCCCAGGCAGGCGGGCGUGGAGUCAUCGUCCCUGUCUGGAAAGGGAGUGGACAGAGACCAGAGCGCUCCUGUUAACCUCUCUUUACAAAGGUGGAUUUCUAUGGUAAAAAGAAAAUCGGAUCCCCAAAUAAUGCGUGUUUGUUGUAGAGAAUUUAGAACAUACAACAAAGUACGAAGAAAAAUUUGACAUCACCUAGAUGAUGGAAUUGCAGGCUCCAACAGAAGACUGUCCACAGGGAAGAAUGAUCGAUUCCAGCCCCAACGGGGAAGAUGUGCACUGCGUCUCCGGCAAGAAAUUGGCCACUCCUGCAACUCAGUCAACGAGAAUCGGUCCUCACCCUGAACUCUUGCUUUCCUGGAUGUACUUUUGAGCCAUUCUCAACUUUUUCCUUCUCCGUAAAAUACCGUUCCUCUCCUGUUUGUUGGACUUGCCUAAGGUUUUGCCAUCGUUCAGAUGUCCCAAGUUGCAAUUCUCUGUUAUUCCCGAAUAAACCCAUUUGCUGGUAAGA